GCUGGGCGUGGUGGCCCAUGCCUGUAAUCCCAGCACUUUGGGAGGCUGAGACAGGCAGAUCACUUGAGGUCAGGAAUUCAAGACUAGCCUGGCCAACAUGGUGAAACCCUGUCUCUACUAAAAAUACACAAAAUUAGCUGGUAUUGUGGGUGUACACCUAUAGUCCCAGCUAUUCGGGAGGCCGAGGCAGGAGAAUCACUUGAACCCACGAGGCAGAGGUUGCAGUGAGCUGAGAUCAUGCCACUGCACUUCAGCCUGGGCAACAGAGUGAGACUCUGUCUCCU
ensembl:misc_RNA Metazoa_SRP Metazoan signal recognition particle RNA